rnacentral:tRNA from 1 species
AUUUCCGUAGUGUUGUGGUCAUCACGUUUGCCCUACACGCAAAAGGUCCCCAGUUCGAAACUGGUCGGAAACA